UACGAAGGAUUCGAGCGUUAUCCGGAUUUAUUGGGCUUAAAGGGUGCGUAGGCGGGUUGCUAAGUGUUCUGUGAAAUCCCCCGGCUCAACCGGGGAAUCGCAGGGCAUACUGGCAGCCUUGAGGCAUGUAGGGGCGGACGGAACUGUAGGUGGAGCGGUGAAAUGCGUAGAUAUCUACAGGAACGCCGAUGGUGAAGACGGUCCGCUGGGCAUGUCCUGACGCUGAGGCACGAAAGCGUGGGGAGCAAACAGG
rnacentral:rRNA from 1 species